AGUGAACGCUGGCGGUAGGCCUAACACAUGCAAGUCGAACGGCAGCACAGUAAGAGCUUGCUCUUACGGGUGGCGAGUGGCGGACGGGUGAGGAAUACAUCGGAAUCUACUUUUUCGUGGGGGAUAACGUAGGGAAACUUACGCUAAUACAGCAUACGACUUACGGGUGAUAGCGGGGGAUCUUCGGACCUUGCGCGAUUGAAUGAGCCGAUGUCGGAUUAGCUAGUUGGCGGGGUAAAGGCCCACCAAGGCGACGAUCCGUAGCUGGUCUGAGAGGAUGAUCAGCCACACUGGAACUGAGACACGGUCCAGACUCCUACGGGAGGCAGCAGUGGGGAAUAUUGGACAAUGGGCGCAAGCCUGAUCCAGCCAUACCGCGUGAGUGAAGAAGGCCUUCGGGUUGUAAAGCCCUUUUGUUGGGAAAGAAAAGCAGCAGGUUAAUACCCCGCUGUUCUGACGGUACCCAAAGAAUAAGCACCGGCUAACUUCGUG
rnacentral:rRNA from 1 species